GACAGAGGGUGCAAGCGUUGUUCGGAAUUAUUGGGCGUAAAGCGCGCGUAGGCGGCCGACUAAGUCGCAUGUGAAAGCCCAGGGCUCAACCCUGGAAGUGCAUGCGAUACUGGUUGGCUUGAGUCUUGGAGAGGGUGGUGGAAUUCCUGGUGUAGAGGUGAAAUUCGUAGAUAUCAGGAGGAACACCGGUGGCGAAGGCGACCACCUGGACAAGUACUGACGCUGAGGUGCGAAAGCGUGGGGAGCAAACAGG
rnacentral:rRNA from 1 species